CCGCCGCCUCGGGCGCACGUCCCCCGCGCCGCCGCCGCCCCCGCGCCCCUCUGCCCCGCGGUUUGUUGAGGGGGAUUUCGAUACAUAUGUAUCGCAUAUUAGGGAGCCACAUGUGUGGGGUGGCGAGCCAGAAUUGUUCAUGGCUUCCCAUGUUCUUCAGAUGCCAAUAACUGUUUACAUGCACGAUGAAGAUGCAGGUGGUCUGAUAGCAAUUGCGGAAUAUGGCCAGCAGUAUGGGAAAGAGGACCCAAUCCAGGUCUUGUAUCAUGGUUUUGGCCAUUAUGAUGCUCUACAGAUUCCAGCAAAGAUUGGUUCAAAGCGGAAACUGUAGAAAUUGUUCAGUUCAAAAUUGAAAAGGUAAGUCAUGAGGUGAUA